UGUUCAUUUAAUCUUUACUUUUAAUUUAUUUUUAACGGUCUAUUUUUUUUUAUAUUUUUAAAAGGGUAAAUGUCAAAAAAUUCACUAACUUUACGCAUUUUUUCAUUUUAACCAUGUCGCUUAAAAGUCGUCAUUUUUAUACACGAACUAUCAAUUUUUCUCAAAUUCAUACACCGUUCAAAAAUCCGGUAAAAAUUGCUGAGUUAGCAACCGGAUAGCGACAUGCCAUAACGAAUCAGAUGGUAACAUGCCAUCAAUUUUCGCCGAAUUUGUGAACGGUGUAUGAAUUUGAGAAAAAAUGUUAUUUGGUGUAUGAAAAUGACGAUUUUUAAACGACGUGAUUAAAAUGAGAAAACGUGUAAAGUGUUAAGUGAAUUUUUUAUGACAUUAUCCCUUUUAAAAAACGUAAAGUUAAAAGACCUUAAAAUAAGGGCUGGUUAUACGGUACCACUUAGGCUGUGGUACCAUUUUUGUCAUUCACGGGUUACAAGUUGCUAUAGCGGAUCGACAAUGGCUUCCAAGCAGCCAGAGCAGUUAUUUAACGGUAGCCAAUCACCUUUGAAGAAGACAAAGCUGGAAGCAUAAGGUGAAGGCGGUGCUGAAACUGCUGCUGCUGAUGAUGAGGUGGAAAACGGAGGCUUAUACAUAUUCAGCAAUUGCGACAAUUGUGGUCUGCAAUUUGACGAUCCAGAAGAAAAUAGACAAUUCCGAUUAUACAAUCUCCGAGGGUUGCUUAUUUCUUCCGCGGAUGACCCCAAGGGUUUCUUAUUUCUAGAAGCGGUGUGAGCAUUUACAAAAAUAGCACCUUUGCUUAUUUAAUUCAAUUUUUUAUUUACUUCCAAACUGUGAAAAACUAAUCCAUUCUCAUCAUCUAUACUGGUCCGCUUGUGGGAUGUUGUAUCUGGCUCUCUUUUGGAUACUUGGGAAGUUAGCGUUAAGGUUGAUCUUUUGUCAAUAAGUUUUUGAUCAGAGGUUUCUUAUAACAUUCAUCUCUUCUUUACUUUUGAAGUGUAUUAGUUGCAUUUCUUUGCUUGAGUAUGAUGUCAAAUGGGAAAAAUAAGUUCCUUCAUUAAUUACCACGUUUUCAUUAGUUUGAUUUUGGGUGAAUUUUCUUAGUUUAAAUGUCGGCCAAUUGUUUGCAUUAAGCAAUAUGUUGGUAAUCAUACAAUGGCUAGGUUGCACAUACUCUUCAUUCAAUCAAUAUUUUUCGUUCCGGAAACGUGUCGGAAAACCCGGGGCACUAAACUUCCCUUUUAACAUAGCAAACCUUAAAAUAACAUAAUUUUUGCCUUGCCAUUUCCAUGUCCGAGUGUCCCGUUUAGCUGUGUUUGUAUGUGACUCUAUGAUACCUAGCAACCAGAUUACGCCAUAGAGAUUUAUUAUCCUUUUUCCUAUUUGAAGAAAGAUUAUAGCAAUAACUUUGUUAGGGUUUUAGAAACAAGGGGCUACUCCUUUGUCUUUGUCUAUUUUUGAUUUAUUUAGAUUGAUUCAUCUUCUCUUAAUGAAGGCAGGACUCACAGAGAUGGCAGAAGUGGUAACGAUUAUUUUACUGUCACUAAUUUGUGCACAAUUUUAAAAUUUCAUCUAGUAGUUGUGGUCAUUAAUUUACUGGAUGGAGCUGACGGGAUGAAAUUAAUUGGUCUAUUUCCAUAUUGGCUUGAUGCAGCUAGAGGCAAUGAUGUUCAUAAUACAGUGGAUGGUGUACAAUCAGGAAGGUAAGAAACUUAGAGGUGAAUGUUGAUCAACUUUGAGACAUGUUUUCACCUGGAAGGCAUUUUAGUCACAAUUUUGACAUAAGGAGAUAUAGAAGAGUAUAAGGUUUCUGUUGUAUAUUAUAAAAAAUGGAUAAGAAUUUUAUAUCUCAAUUUUAGUGUGUUUUGUGUGAUAUUAUGAAAGAUUGUUAAACAUGCUUUAAGCAUCUGUUGCAUAGCUCCUAAAUGUUGCAUCUAAUUGUGCCAAUAAAUUGCUUUUAUUUCUCUC